UACGUAGGGUGCAAGCGUUGUCCGGAAUUAUUGGGCGUAAAGAGCUCGUAGGUGGCCUGUCGCGUCGGCUGUGAAAUCCCGGGGCUCAACCCCGGGCCUGCAGUCGAUACGGGCAGACUAGAGUGCGGUAGGGGAGACUGGAAUUCCUGGUGUAGCGGUGAAAUGCGCAGAUAUCAGGAGGAACACCGGUGGCGAAGGCGGGUCUCUGGGCCGUAACUGACGCUGAGGAGCGAAAGCGUGGGGAGCAAACAGG
rnacentral:rRNA from 1 species